GGGUCAGUAGGUUGGUCGUGCCACCGGUACGUACUGGUCUCACUGAUUCCUCCUUCCUGAAGAACCGUAAUGCCAUUAAUUUGGUGUUGCGGGGGAACAGGACUGUUAAUUUGAAAAAAUUAGAGUGUUUAAAGCAAGCUAACGCUUGAAUACAUUAGCAUGGAAUAAUGAAAUAGGACGAUCGAUCCUAUUUUGUUGGUUUCUAGGAUUGACGUA
rnacentral:rRNA from 1 species